rnacentral:rRNA from 1 species
UACGUAGGGGGCUAGCGUUAUCAGGAAUUACUGGGCGUAAAGGGUGAGUAGGCGGUUGUAUAUGUCAGGUAGUAAAAGGCUAUGGCUUAACCAUGGUUAGCACUUGAAACUGUACAACUUGAGUGCAGGAGAGGUAAGUGGAAUUCCUAGUGUAGCGGUGAAAUGCGUAGAUAUUAGGAGGAACACCAGUGGCGAAGGCGACUUACUGGACUGUAACUGACGCUGAGUCACGAAAGCGUGGGUAGCAAACAGGAUUAGAUACCCUGGUAGU